AGUGAACGCUGGCGGUAUGCCUAAUACAUGCAAGUCGAACGGCAGCACAGUAAGAGCUUGCUCUUGCGGUUGGCGGGUGGCGGGCGGGUGAGGAGUACAUCGGAUUCUUCUUAUUCGGGGGGGAUUACGGAGGGAAGCGGACGCUAAUAGCGCAUACUUCGUACGGGAGGAAUCAAUGGUGCUUCAGACUUUUCGUGAUUGAUUGAGCCGAAUUCGGGUUGGAUUAGCUAGUUGGUAAGGUACCGGCCUACCAAGGCAACGAUGCGUAGCUGAGCUGAGAGGAUGAGCGGCCACACUGGAACUGAGACACGGUCCAGACUCCUACGGGAGGCAGCAGUGGGGAAUAUUGGACAAUGGGCGCAAGCCUGACCCAGCCAUACCGCGUGGGUGAAGAAGGCCUUCGGGUUGUAAAGCCCUUUUGUUGGGAAAGAAAAGCAGCAGGUUAAUACCCCGCUGUUCUGACGGUACCCAAAGAAUAAGCACCGGCUAACUUCGUG
rnacentral:rRNA from 1 species